CCAACCUCAGAGGCCGGAUGAGUGCAGAUUCUGUUCUGCUUUCUCGCUCACCGUUUCACACUGCAUGGGUUUUUUUUCUCUAAUCGUGUGAGAUUUUAUCAGGCUCUUCUCUGUUAGUAACCGCUAUCAAUUGUGAAAUUUCAGAAGGCAGAGUCUGUGGGAACCAAAGUAUCAGUUGAGGACCUUUAUAGACACAAGGCGGUUUCUGAAAAGUGCCAUCCAGCCAGGCAGCCCAGUUCUAGCCCAGCCAGGAUCCUCUCCUCCUCCUCCUCCUUCCAGAAGCAUUAGCAUAUAGCUGGCUGCACCGGGACGGCUGCUCCAUCAGUCAUGUCAUGGGCACUUUAACAUGAUGAAGAGUGCGGUGGCCCCGUUGGAAUGAAUAAUUCACAUUAGCCCUCGCUCACGCCCGCCCACCGGAGAGGAGAGGGAUUGACUAUGCAACAAUGAUUUAGAGGAACAGAUGUGUGAUCUUUAAGGCAUGCAGGCCUCUGUUUUGGUUGCCUGCCAGUGUUGGAUUGACAUAUCUGAUUCUUCUCUCCACAUUGCGCCAACAGCUUUAGAAGACACUCGACACGAAUGAUUCUGUUGGUUUACCGUUUGGUGAAUUAACUGGUAGGUAGGAACCUUGAGGCGCUUGUGCUUGACUCAAAAGCCCAUGUGAAAAUUGGAUGUAAAGCGUUUCCAGGUGAAGGUGGGUGAGAAAUCUUGGCUUGGGAUUAGGAAAACCACAGGCGUGAAAGCUCUACUCGAUCCAUUUCCAAACUGUCACAGGGCCUUUAAGAAGCAAACAACCCUUCCUUAAUCUUUUCUUAAUCAUACUUAAGCAUGAAUGUUUCAUGUGGAAAUUCCUGGUUACAAUUUAAAGGCUUGUUGCUUCUUCCUGGGGAUAACCCUGCUAUGGUUGUAGCCAGCUAUGUUCCUCAUACCGCGAAUCCCAUUGGCCACAAGAAAGCCUCACGAGGCUUACACAAAUGUUAGGCUACAUAUGCAUAACUUACAACCACCAACAAAAAUCACACAUUGCUGACAACAACAACAGUGGUGUGUAUGCUUCCAUCCAUUGAUAAUGAAGAUUAGAUCAUGUAUUCCCACUGGUUACAGUUUUCAUUUACAUUUGGUUGAGUUGUCAACUAACAUGAAUUCAAUGUGAAAUCAACCAAAAAUGUCACCCUGUCCUUUGGAUUUAGGUUCAAAGUUCUGGGGGGACAAAGAGGAAAUUCCCUGACGUUGAUGACUUUUAUGCAAAAACCAAUCAGUUUUCCACGUUGAUCCAACAUCGUCACAUUUCAUUUUGGGGUUGAAAUGACGUGGAAACAACGUUGAUUCAACCAGUGUUUGCUGUUCACGUGUCACACUAAUUCCACGGAGGGCCGAGUGUCUGCGGCUUUCCGCUCCACCCUUGUACUUGAUUGAUGAAUUAAGGUCACUAAUUAGUGAGGAACUCCCCUCACCCGGUUGUCUAGGGCUUUAAUUGAAAGGGAAAAACAAAAGCCGACAGAUAUCCGGCCUUCCACGGAAUGAGUUUGACACCCAUCUUAGAUGUAUUGAGAGAUAACGCAGUGGUUUAACAAAAAAAGAAGCAAAGACAGAGUUAGUGAUUUGUUCUUAUUAACAACCGUGUUCUUCGUAGCUUUGCGAAAUGCAAAUUACAGGGAAAAUAAUGAAUGCCAGACAACAGUGAACCUAAUAUUAUAUUCAGAACAGUGCAUAACCCAAUGUUAUGAUGAUUACAUUUGACUUGCAAUGUUUUCCUUUUCGCAGAUGGGAAUACAAACUAAUACAGCAUAUUCCCCAAAGUAGCUUCGCUGCUCCUGCUUCCGCCUUACUUUAAAUAAAUCUCAUCAGUGGCAACCAAUGUUCUGAUUUCUUCAGAAGCAGGAGAGAUAAAAGUCAAACCCAUCUGUCUCAGUCCCAACUUCUCUCUCCUCUCUGGUGCAGUGCAGUGCAGCAGGAGAAUUUAUCACAGCUCUGACGUGACAGUAAAGUGGAUCUGCAUCCUCUGCACUGCUCCUCUCUGCUCCCCCUCACAUCAUUAUCGUUAUCCCCUUUCACUUCCCCAGCUGAGCCCCUGGGAUAGAAAAGAACAGGGUGACAAAUAAAUGGCGGGUAAAAACGCGUUUCAAAGGAUCUGACGGCCGGUAAUGGAAAAAAGAGCUUCCGUAUUGUUAUAACCUUUCACUUUUGUUUGGCUCACGGAAGGAAAAGUACGCCAUUGUCCCUGUCAGCUAAUUGGAUCAAGGUUGUUGUGUGGGAAAACAGAUGUGAAUGAAUGGCUGUAUGAGGUACAUGCCCGACAAAAGACGAUGGAACUGAAAUUGCUUUAAAAAUGGUUUUCUUUUCCCACUACCAAUGUGAAAGUAUGGAAAAAUACAGUAUAAAAGUGCAUUAAUGGCACAAUUGAAAAUGUCUGAAAAUACAAGGAAAUUGUACUUCAGUAUGUUGUCUUGUUCUUUUCAAUGGUCUGUAUCUGUUUUGGAAAAGGGAUGCUGCAUCUGAAGAACACAGGCGUACUGCAAAAUGAACUGCCGUUUAAAAGCCAUCUUGUUAUUGCUCAUAGCUAUGUGAUGUUAUUUGGCACAGUGGAGACAUUACAGAUCAGAAAUGGAAUAUCCCUGAUCCAAUUAAAAACUGGCUCCAAAGUGUCACCGGGUUCUCGCUGAUUCCUGCCCU